rnacentral:misc_RNA from 1 species
UGACAUUUGCAGCCACACAACUGCCACAAUACGUUCAUCUAGACUCCUGGAGACAUGAGCGGAGGCACUUGCUAUCUUAUCAGCAUUACACUAUUUAGAAAAUAGAAAAACUGAGACUCUAAAAUGGGUGAUCGCCAGCGAUAGUAUGAGUGUACUUUCAUCUAUUUCAAAUUGCAAAAUGAGUGCUAAAUCAAAUUACAUCAUCUAUGAAAUUAAGAAGAAAACCUAUCAACUGUAUUGGAAUGGUUUUGACAUUGUUUUUAUUUGGGUUCCGACACACUCUGGGGUGAAAGGAAACGAAAAUGCAGACUUUCUGGCAAAAACUAUAACAAAUGCAU